rnacentral:rRNA from 1 species
AACGAACGCUGGCGGCAGGCUUAACACAUGCAAGUCGAACGCACUCUUCGGAGUGAGUGGCAGACGGGUGAGUAACGCGUGGGAAUCUACCCAGUCCUUCGGAAUAGCUCCUGGAAACGGGAAUUAAUACCGGAUACGCCCUUUUGGGGAAAGAUUUAUCGGGAUUAGAUGAGCCCGCGUAAGAUUAGCUAGUUGGUGGGGUAAUGGCCUACCAAGGCGACGAUCUUUAGCUGGUCUGAGAGGAUGAUCAGCCACACUGGGACUGAGACACGGCCCAGACUCCUACGGGAGGCAGCAGUGGGGAAUAUUGGACAAUGGGCGCAAGCCUGAUCCAGCCAUGCCGCGUGAGUGAUGAAGGCCUUAGGGUUGUAAAGCUCUUUCACCGGUGAAGAUAAUGACGGUAACCGGAGAAGAAGCCCCGGCUAACUUCGUGCCAGCAGCCGCUGUAA